rnacentral:lncRNA from 1 species
CUCUGUGCCUGCUGCCAUCCACGUAAGAUGUGACUUGCUCCUCCUUGCCUUCCGUCAUGAUUGUGAGGCGCUCCCAGCCAUGUGGAACUGACGAAACACUGGAACUCUCCAGAAUAAAUUGGUACCUGGGUCUCUUCUGAAGUGAGCUGCUCUUAGGAGCUUCAAAUGAGGGUCUUUGAAGCCACAUGAAAAUUGAUGAGUGGUUGUAACAUCCAAGCUACCAAAUCAGACACACUUGUAAUUGUUCCCAAUAGUUUCUUAGCAGGCAUUUUGGAGGAAAAGAUUUGGAUCAGAAAUUCAGAAAUUACCUGGGCUCACAAAUAUAUGCCCCUCCAGCACCAUCCUGCAUUCUGCUUCCAAGAUACAUGAGCUUUCUGAAGAGCUGGUGAGAAUGCUGAAACUUCCUGGCCUUGGUUUCCCAUCUGGUAAAAUGAGGAAGACCAAAGCUUAACUCUCACAAGGAAUAUGCAGAUGAGGAAACCGAAGCUCUUGGGGUAACACGACUUGUGAAACUGCAUGCUACUCCUCAGUGGCAGGGUGGGGACUCUGGACAGAGGAACUGGCAAGGUCUUCUAGACCUUUGACGUGCAUAAACUGGCAGGUUUACAGAAUAACGAGGAAAACAAAGUGAAACAAAAGACUGUACCCGUGUGCUAAGAAUUUAUUACCCGCACAUCAAAAAACUUAUCCAUCACGAUCAAGCUGGCUUCAUCCCUGGGAUGCAAAGCUGGCUCAGCAUAUGCAAAUCAAUAAACAUAAUCCGUCACAUAAACAGAACCAAAGACAAAAACCACAUGGUUAUCUCAGUAGAUGCAGAAAAGGCCUUUGAUAAAAUUCAACAUCCCUUCAUGUUAAAAACUCAAUAAACUAGAUAUUGAUGGAACAUAUCUCAAAAUAAAAGAGCUGUUUAUGACAAACCCACAGCCAAUAUCAUAUUGAAUGGGCAAAAGCUGGAAGCAUUCCCUUUGAAUACUAGUACAAGGUAAGGAUGCCCUCUUCUCACCACUCUAUUCAACAUAGUAUUGAAGUUUUGGCCAGGGCAAUCGGGCAAGAGAAAGACAAAAAGCAUAUUCUAAUAGGAAGAGAGAGAGUCAAAUUGUCUCUAUUUGCAGACAACAUGAUUGUAUAUUUAGAAAACCCCAUCAUCUCACCCCAAAAACUCCUUAAGCUGGUGAGCAACUUCAGCAAAGUCUCAGGAUACAAAAUCAAUGUGCUAAAAUCACAAGCAUUCCUUUACACCAACAAUAGACAAGCAGGGAGCCAAAUCAUGAAUGAAGUCCCAUUCACAAUUGCUACAAAGAGAAUAAAAUACCUAGGAAUACAGCUAACAAGGGAUGUGAAGGACCUUUUCAAGGAGAACUACAAACUACUGCUCAAGGAAAUAAGAGAGGACACAAACAAAUGGAAAAACAUUCCAUCCUCAUGGAUAGGAAGAAUCAAUAUCAUGAAAAUGGCCAUACUGUCCAACGUAAUUUAUAGAUUCAAUGCUAUCCUCAUCAAGCUACCAUUGACGUUCUUCACAGAAUUAGAAAAAAAACUACUUUAAAUUUCAUAUGGAAUCAAAGAAGACCCUGUAUAGCUAAGACAAGCCUAAGCAAAAAGAACAAAGCUGGAGGCAUCAAGCUACCUGACUUCAAACUAUACUACAGGCUACAGUAACCAAAACAGCAUGGUACUGGUACCAAAACAAACAUAUAGACCAAUGGAACAGAACAGAGACCUCAGAAAUAACACCACACAUCUAAAACCAUCUGAUCUUUGACAAACCUGACAAAAACAAGCGAUCGGGAAAUGAUCUCCUAUUCAUUAAAUGUUUCUGGGAAAACUGUCUAGCCACGUGCAGAAAACUGAAACUGGAUCACCCUUCCUUAUACCUUAUACAAAAAUUAACUUAGGAUGGAUUAAAGACUUAAAUGUAAAGCCCCAAACCAUAAAAACCCUAGAAGAAAACCUAGGCAAUACCAUUCAGGACAUAGGCAUGGGCAAAGACUUCAUAAUGAAAACGCCAAAAGCAAUUGCAGCAAAAGCCAUAAUUGACAAAUGGGAUGUAAUUAAACUAAAGAGCUUCUGCACAGCAAAAGAAGCUAUCAUCAGAGUGAACAGGCAACCUACAGAAUGGGAGAAAAAUUUUGCGAUCUAUCCAUCCAACAAAGGUCUAAUAUCCAGCAUCUAUAAGGAACUUAAACAAA